rnacentral:rRNA from 1 species
UACGUAGGGUGCAAGCGUUGUCCGGAAUUAUUGGGCGUAAAGAGCUCGUAGGCGGUUUGUCGCGUCUGCUGUGAAAACCGGAGGCUCAACCUCCGGCCUGCAGUGGGUACGGGCAGACUAGAGUGCGGUAGGGGAGAUUGGAAUUCCUGGUGUAGCGGUGGAAUGCGCAGAUAUCAGGAGGAACACCGAUGGCGAAGGCAGAUCUCUGGGCCUUACCUGACGCUCAGGUGCGAAAGCUAGGGGAGCGAACAGG